rnacentral:rRNA from 1 species
GACGAACGCUGGCGGCGUGCCUAAUACAUGCAAGUCGAACGCAGGGGGGACGGGUGAGUAACACGUGGGUAACCUCCCAUCAGAGGGGAUAACACUUGGAAACAGGUGCUAAACCGAUACUGAUGGAUGGACCCGCGGUGCAUUAGCUAGUUGGUGGGGUAACGGCUCACCAAGGCCACGAUGCAUAGCCCACCUGCGAGGGUGAUCGGCCACACUGGGACUGAGACACGGCCCAGACUCCUACGGGUGGCAGCAGUAGGUAAUCUUCGGCAAUGGGGGGAACCCUGAUGCAGCCAUGCCGCGUGUAUGAAGAAGGCCUUCGGGUUGUAAAGUACUUUCAGCGGGGAGGCGUUACCCGCAGAAGAAGCACCGGCUAACUCCGUGCCAGCCGCCGCGGUAAUAC